GUGAACGCUGGCGGUAGGCCUAACACAUGCAAGUCGAACGGCAGCACAGUAAGAGCUUGCUCUUACGGGUGGCGAGUGGCGGACGGGUGAGGAAUACAUCGGAAUCUACUUUUUCGUGGGGGAUAACGUAGGGAAACUUACGCUAAUACCGUAUACGACCUACGGGUGAAAGCAGGGGAUCUUCGGACCUUGCGCGAUUGAAUGAGCCGAUGUCGGAUUAGCUAGUUGGCGGGGUAAAGGCCCACCAAGGCGACGAUCCGUAGCUGGUCUGAGAGGAUGAUCAGCCACACUGGAACUGAGACACGGUCCAGACUCCUACGGGAGGCAGCAGUGGGGAAUAUUGGACAAAGGGCGCAAGCCUGAUCCAGCCAUACCGCGUGGGUGAAGAAGGCCUUCGGGUUGUAAAGCCCUUUUGUUGGGAAAGAAAAGCAGCAGGUUAAUACCCCGCUGUUCUGACGGUACCCAAAGAAUAAGCACCGGCUAACUUCGUG
rnacentral:rRNA from 1 species